GAGGGUAUAGCUCAGUGGUAGAGAGCAUGCCUAGCAUGCACAAGGUCCUGGGUUCAAUCCCCAGGACCUCCA
rnacentral:tRNA from 1 species